GCUGCAAAGAUAUUUCCCCAUUUUUGUUAAAUAGUGGUAUGUAUCCAUUUAAAAAUGUUUUUAAAUAUGGAUAAAUUACUUAAUUCUUAGCUAAACUGUUGAGAACAGAUAGCUAACUAAACGAGAUAUUAGAAUCACUAUUAUUUUUGUCUGUGCUCCAGGUACUGUCCCAUAAGUUUUGGGUUCCUCACCUAGCUCUAUUUUCCCCAGAAGCUCCAGUAGCUUUCGUGUACAAUUUUGCAAAAUGAGUUUGUCUCCUCCUAGGAAUACAAACCUGGAGUUUGCAGUAAGACAUGGAUCUUUUAUAGACCCUUUCCUGAGGGCCAAAGGUUCUUAAAAGCUUUUGCUGCACAGGAAAAAAGAAGUGGACUACUUCACCUAUCCUGAUUGGCAGAAUCUCCCUGGAGGAGGAAAAUAGUCAGGGAGAGGAACUAAGGCUUGUAGAACAUAAGACACACAAUGAUGGGCUUUCUCACCCAUUUGGAAUCAUGACAAUUGCAGCUACCCAACAGAAGAAAAUGUUUUUGUUAUUUGACAAGCAAUUUAUAAAAUCUCUUCUCCUGCCUAAAUUUGAGAGGUUAUGGAAACUAUGCCUGUAAUGGUUGUCAUGAUUUUCAACUAUCACAAAGCUGGCUGGGAUAAAACAUAAAUUGGGAUAAUGCAAUGUAGCUAAGCAGGAACGGUGCUGGGAUUAGAAAUAUGACAAUGAAUUUUUCUCUACAAAAUGAA
rnacentral:lncRNA from 1 species